CCUGACAGAGCCUCGGAGACUAGGCUCUAGUGGUACCACUGCUUAAUAGGGCGAUGCCACCGCAUGGCAAGGCUCCAAGUAGCCGAGUAAGCCUUCCAUCCAGCCCAACUCAACCUUGUCUUGGGCCCAGUUGGCCCCUAUUUGAGUUAGUAGGAUUUCUCCCAAACCUAACUCAAAUUGAACCCCUAACUACGAUAAU
rnacentral:lncRNA from 1 species